GUUAAAAGCUCGUAGUUGGAUUUCUGUCGAGGGCGGGCGGUCCGCACUAUGUGCGUGUAUCUUGUUCGGUCUUGGCAUCCUCUUGGGGAAUGCUUCUGUGCUUGAUUGCAUGGGGUGGAAUUCAAGACUUUUACUUUGAGGAAAUUAGAGUGUUCACGGCAAGCUACCGCUUUGAAUACAUUAGCAUGGUAUAAUAAUAUAGGGCGUAAGUUCUAUUUUGUUGGUUUCUAGGACAUACGCAAUGAUUAAUAGGGACAAUUGGGAGCAUUCGUAUUAACGCGUCAGAGGUGGAAUUCUUAGAUUGCGUUACGACGGACUACUGCGAAAGCAUUUGCCAAAGAUGUUUUCAUUGAUCAAGAACGAAAGUAUGGGGAUCGAAGACGAUUAGAUACCGUCGUAGUCUAUACCAUAAACUAUGCCAAUUAGAGAUUGGGCGUCGUUCGUUUUAUGACUCGCUCAGCACCUUAUGAGAAAUCAAAAUUUUUGGGUUCCGGGGGGAGUAUGGUCGCAAGGCUGAAACUUAAUGG
rnacentral:rRNA from 1 species